rnacentral:lncRNA from 1 species
AACCAAAAUCCAUUAGGAUUUAAAAACUUUCAAUCUCCAAACGAGAGGAGAGAACAAUCGCGGACAAGAAAUGGAAAAAAGAGGAAAACGGCCAAUCUUGGAAGAGGAUCUUCACCAAAAUAUAGCAAACCAGUGGAAAAGAAUGCAGAUUCUGUAGACUUUGAAGAUGAGGCUCGCGAGACUUGGAAGAGGAUCGUUAUAUUUUUUAAUUUUCAAAUUUAGAAUUUUUAAAUCAGGCGACCAAUUUAGUUGGUCGCAUUAUUUUAUUUAUAUAUAUUUUUUUUUAAUUUAGGCGACCAACCAGUUUGGUCGUCAAAUUGGAAGAUAUUUUUUAAAAAAUUUAAAAUAUUUAAGGGACCAACUGUUGGUUGGUCGUCUUUUUUUUAAAAAAUUCAUGCGACCAACUAGGUGGUCGCCUUUUAUUUUUUUUAA